CGGAUUGUAGGCUGCAACUCGCCUACCAUGAAGUCGGAAUUGCUAGUAAUCGCGGAUCAGCAUGCCGCGGUGAAUACGUUCCCGGGCCUUGUACACACCGCCCGUCACACCAUGGGAGUCGGUAACACCCGAAGCCUGUAGUCUAACCGCAAGGGGGACGCAGUCGAAGGUGGGAUUGAUGACUGGGGUGAAGUCGUAACAAGGUACC
rnacentral:rRNA from 1 species